ACAAGGCUGGAAUGGAUUAAAAUUAUUUUACUUAUUUUAAAUGAGGAAAAUUCAUUUGAAAUAAGAGCAGCUUGAGUUAAGAGCUUGGUCACAGAACGAAAUAAACUCGUAUGUCGAGGUUCCACUGUAUAUGGUUUUUGAGGCAUUUAAA